rnacentral:rRNA from 1 species
UACAGAGGUGGCGAGCGUUGUUCGGAAUUACUGGGCGUAAAGGGCGCGUAGGCGGCUUGGUCAGUCCCGUGUGAAAUCCCUCGGCUCAACCUUGGAACUGCCUUUGAUACUGGGGAUCUUGAGUCCGGGAGAGGUGAGUGGAACUGCGAGUGUAGAGGUGAAAUUCGUAGAUAUUCGCAAGAACACCAGUGGCGAAGGCGGCUCACUGGCCCGGUACUGACGCUGAGGUGCGAAAGCGUGGGGAGCAAACAGG